rfam:Streptomyces cellostaticus strain DSM 40189 genomic scaffold PRJNA299219_s049, whole genome shotgun sequence.
CUUCACCGACCCCAGCAGCAACGGCCGACCCUCCGGCCGAUCCUGACCAUACGUCGCCAGCAGCGCCUGCGCCUC